GGGAAGGUGAACAGGCAGACAACAAAGGAUUGUCAGGGCAGUGAAACUGCUCUUUACGAUACUGUGACGGUGGAUAGAUGCCAUUAUACAUUUGUCCAAAAUCAUAGAGUAUACACCACCAGGAGUGAUCGCUAGUGUAAACUGCGGACUUUGGGUGACAAAGAUGUGUCCAUAGUGAGCACUGGAAGGAAUCUCUCUCACACACACACCACCCCCGCCAUAUCUUUUUCUGAGAGAUGGAAGGAAGAAAAGAAGGAAGAAGAGAUCUUUGACCUGCUGGGAGGAGCAGCAUCUUGCCAUGAGGAGGGUGUAAUUAUCCCACACCCAGUCCACACUCCCAACUCCCAGAUACCGUCUAGAGGAGGGACACCCACAGCCAAAGGGGCGUGCGAGGUACAAAUGGAGUCCGCCUACACUCUGACAGCCAUGAACCGACUCCAAGGACAUUGCUGUGCGCUGAGAAGCUGACACAGAGCAGAAUAAAGCACGAAGAUGACCAAACACAGACUGCCUGGUUUAUCCACAUAGCUGACUCUUCUGGAAUACCCUGCAUCUCAUUGCAGUGGAAGAUCAGGAAAUGAGAAAAACCUUAAUCUCAAAACUGGACGCAUCUACUCGAAUCAAGGAAGUCAGUCUCAUUUGAGAACAGCGCUCCCAGGCUCCCCAUCCACACUCGAAAGCUACACAAUGGCUUUUCCAAUCACAAGUCAAAUAAGCAUCUAAAGUUAAAGCCAUAAAGCCAUGAAAUAAAGCAUCAGGGAAUAACCCC
rnacentral:lncRNA from 1 species